rnacentral:rRNA from 1 species
AGUCCCAGCAGUAAACGAUGUGAGCUUUAUGUGGGGGGGAUUCGACCCCUUCCGUGUCGAAGCUAACGCGAUUAAGCUCACCGCCUGAGGAGUUACGGCCGCAAGGCUAAAACUCAAAGAAAUUGACGGGGACCCGCACAAUCGGUGGAGUAUGUGGCUUAAUUCGAUGCAACGCGAAGAACCUUACCUGGCCUUGACAUGCAUUGUGUCGUCGGUGAAAGCCGGCUAGUCCUGGAAACAGGACGCUUUGCACAGGUGCUGCAUGGCUGUCGUCAGCUCGUGUCGUGAGAUGUUGGGUUAAGUCCCGCAACGAGCGCAACCCUUGUGGUCAGUUACUAACCGGCUUAGCCGGAGGACUCUGGCCAGACUGCCCUGUCAAACGGGGAGGAAGGUGGGGACGACGUCAAGUCAGUAUGGCCCUUAUGGCCAGGGCUGCACACGUACUACAAUGCCCGGUACAAUGUGAACCGAAACCGCGAGGUGGAGGAAAUCGCUCUUGAAAACCGGGCCCAGUUCGGAUUGGAGUCUGCAACUCGACUCCAUGAAGUCGGAAUCGCUAGUAAUGGCGUAUCAGCAACGACGCCGUGAAUACGUUCCCGGGUCUUGUACACACCGCCCGUCACAUCAUGGAAGUCUCCUGUACCCGAAGCACGUGCGCCAACAUUUCAAGAGGCAGCGUUCGAAGGUAUGG